CCCGAACACAGAAGUUAAGCGCCGCAGCGGCGACGAUAGUGCGCGAGUGCGACAAUAGCGCUCCGCCAGGU
rnacentral:rRNA from 1 species